UUUUUAAUGCAAGGUUAGUAUUUUAUUACAGUGUUUAAAAUAAAACCAUGCACUUUAUCAUUCCAUCAUAUUUCUUACAUUCAAGAUCUGACGAAAUAAAACAUGAAGAAUAAAGGCGUUUUGUUACAGAGAAAUCAAAAUACACUAAUGACAACUAAAUCCAAUUAAAUAACUAGAAAUCUUUUAUUCCAUACAUUAUUUUUGCAAAGUAUUAUCACUGAUUGUUACUCAUAGCUGUUCACUAUAUGUAGUUUACAAAUAAGGCUUCUGGAUUGUGUAAGAAUCUACCAGGUCACAGUUACACAUCUCUAAUAGCAGGUUCACUAACAAGAUACAAUAUGCUCUUGGUGCAGUGUCUGGUGUGAUCACAUGGAAUUACAGGUAUUUCCACAAAUAAAGCUGGGACCCUCUAUUUUUUUCUAUCUUCCCUCUUUUACAGAUGAGUGCAGCUGAUGUAUGCUAAACGUUGCCUUUCUAACUCUAGUUUGACUUCAUAAUAAUCCCAACAGUUACACUAAUGAACACUUGUUGCACCAAUGGCUGGUAGAGGAUUAUGAGAAUUGUAGUGGAAAGACAGAUUGAUGGUCAGGAUUGGACAUGUCUGAUCUAGUGUCUAAUAAUAGUUUAGUAAAAUGAUUUUAUUACAAAUUAAAGUGAAACAUGUGCAAGUUGUGCCAGGAAUAAGCCAGUGGAGGAGUGUGAGAGCAUCAACUGCAUUGGUGCAUAUCAACAUCUAGAAUGAAAAUGCUUGGUAAAAAAAAAAAAAAAACAUAUCCUGGUUCAUUAUACAUACUCAAAGCUGCACAGUUUACAGGAAAAAAAAACAUAGUUUAGCUCCAGCGAUGGUUUCUUACUUACAAAGAUCACUUUACUAUACAAGAGAAUAUUCACUAAACUUUGAUUUGCAGUGAAAUAUAAGAAUUGCAAAACUGAGGCAAAAAUAGCUGCUCUGGAUAAAGUUCUAGUUACAGCUCUGGAAACAGCUUGCCAAUUUUAGCCUCGAUUUUGAAUUAAAAAAAAAUUGAGUUUAGUGAAUAACCCUGCAUUAGUACACCAUUGGCGUAUUUUGUCAUACAUAUGCAUGAUUAUUCAUUCUGCUAGAGAAAUGGUCUAAGCCAGUUCCCGAUUACAGAGAAAAAGAAGUGACAGAUCAGAUGUGACGUUGUACCAUGUUUAUGUAUAUUGUCUGUUGUAUCUCUUGCUGUCUACUCUUAAUUAAAGAAUAAAAAAAAAAUAGAGAUUUAAAAGGGGAAGAUUCGGAGGUAAAUCCAUCCUGGAUGUCCCCUUAGUGGCAUAAAUCUACACGCGUUUGAUCUGGAAGAUUAAUUUUAGAGCAGGGCUGCCCAUAAGGUAGAUCCCCUGAUGUUUUAAAACUACAGCUUCCAUGAUGAGUUGAGAAAUUCUUAAGGCAUGCAAAGCAUCAUGGGAGCUGCAGUUCUACAACAUCUGUGGAUCUACCUUUUGGACACCCCUGCUGUAGAGUAUGGUUUCAUCCUGUUGAGGAUUAAAACUCUUAAAGUGGCCCAAAUGGAUGCACAUAAAAGUGACUCAUAAAAGUUUUUUCUAAUCUGGCAUGCCUCAUAAUACUUGAAAGUGAUAUAAUUUUUCAGACGCUCAUCUUGAAUAAAAUUUCCAGGUGUAUUUCUUAAAGAGACACACCAAGCACCAUAACCACUACAGUUUUCUGUUUUUGUUUUUUUAGAACUAACAUCAAUCAGUUUGACAAAAACUGCAUGGAUUUCCUGAAGUAAAAGUGUGUCCUGGAAAAAUGCAAAUUCUCAUUUUACUGUGUUUCUUCCUAAAUCGGGCAAGCAGGAGCUCUAUGACCACAUCAUGCAGAGGCUGUACUGAGGUACUGAAUGAUUUGGACAGAUCAUAAUAGAGCAAUCCUUUCAGUACAGCCAGAUUACUGCUGGGCAUUUUAGUGCCAUCAAAUAAAACAUUUUGCCAUAUAUUGUGAGGUCACCUUUAGGGGUAAAUAAACUUUUAGUAAUGGAUUAGUAAGUGAACUUUUUUUUAUAUUUGCCCAACAAACAAAUAUAAGAAUAUGGAUUAAUAGUAAGGAAGAAUUAUUUUCUCAUUAUAAAAUUGCAACUGGAGAGGGUGGGCAGUGAGUGCAGGAAAAUAAUAUUGUUUUCUCAAAUUGAUUAAAAAUACCAUAAGCACUGCAAUAACUUGGCUUGUUAUGGUGCUUGGAGUCUAUCACGGAGGAUGUGCAUGUGGCAUAUCAACAGUAACUUGAUAAAACACAUAAAACACUCAUUAUUGCUUGCACAUCCAGAAAUAAAUCACACACAUAGACUAGAGCAGGGGUGCACAAAAAGUAGAUCCCAAAUGUUUUCAACUACAGCUUCCAUGAUGCUUUGUCAUUCCAAGGGCAUUCUAAAAGCAUGCAAAGCAUCAUUAAAUUUGUAGUUCUAUAGCAUCUGCGAAUCUACCUAACCCAGAGCAUGUCAAUUGUUGUUGCCCUUAUUUGGUUAAAGGGUCCAACCAAAAAACAGUGUUUUAAUAAAACACUUGUUUGUUGUUUGAGUAACCUUACUGGCAUGGUCCUCUUCUCACACUAAAAGAUAAAAAAUAUUUACCUGCGAUACCAGGCAGGUUUUUCCUGCAGUUUGACCUUCCUCUGGUGAUGUCACUACCUCAUCUCAGAUGAUGGGCUGAAGAGAGGACUUGGGUCACACAGAGGGAGGAGCUGUGCCACCAUUGGUUGUCUGUUGCGUGCAUGCUAUGCGUGCGGACAACAGAUAAGUAAACACAGAUUUAACAUCAGUUUAACAUUAAACAUUCCGGACAUUAAACAUUAAUGUCGCUGCCAGCAGCACCAGGUUCUAUUUCUGUAUGCACAGCAUUUCAAACUGGAACGUUGCACAAACAGACUUGGAGCACCAUCAAAUCAAUGAAGUGGACAUGGUGCUUUCAGUUACCCUUUAACAUUUAAGGUCACAAUAUAGAAAUACAGAGGAUAAUUUGCUCUUGAGUCCCUGACAAAUGGCAUUUCAAUAAUAAGAACGAGUUUGCCUAACCCUAGUCUUGAACUGGUUAUAGCCAUCACAAAAAAAUAUACGCAUUGUUGUACAUAUGCAGAUAUGAAAUUGUUCUCAUUUUCCAAGUAGAUAUAUUUUUCUUUAAAAUUCGCUCUCUCAUAAAAUACACUCUGUUACAUAAUAUCAUAUAUAUAUUAUUAUAGAUUUGGCAUAAUAUAUAUUCCACUAUAUACAUUUUGUAC
rnacentral:lncRNA from 1 species